rnacentral:tRNA from 1 species
GCGCUCGUAGCUCAAUGGAUAGAGCGUUUGGCUUCGGACCAAAAGGUUGGGGGUUCGACUCCCUCCGGGCGCACCA